rnacentral:tRNA from 1 species
GGGCCUGUGGUGUAUGCAGUAACAUAUCAGCGUUAGCACCUGAUGAAGCGGGUGCAAAUCCCGCCGGGUCCA